rnacentral:rRNA from 1 species
GAUGAACGCUAGCGGCAGGCUUAACACAUGCAAGUCGAGGGGCAGCAUAAUGGAUAGCAAUAUCUAUGGUGGCGACCGGCGCACGGGUGCGUAACGCGUAUGCAACCUACCUUUAACAGGGGGAUAACACUGAGAAAUUGGUACUAAUACCCCAUAAUAUCAUAGAAGGCAUCUUUUAUGGUUGAAAAUUCCGAUGGUUAGAGAUGGGCAUGCGUUGUAUUAGCUAGUUGGUGGGGUAACGGCUCACCAAGGCGACGAUACAUAGGGGGACUGAGAGGUUAACCCCCCACACUGGUACUGAGACACGGACCAGACGCCUACGGGAGGCAGCAGUGAGGAAUAUUGGUCAAUGGACGCAAGUCUGAACCAGCCAUGCCGCGUGCAGGAUGACGGCUCUAUGAGUUGUAAACUGCUUUUGUACGAGGGUAAACGCAGAUACGUGUAUCUGUCUGAAAGUAUCGUACGAAUAAGGAUCGGCUAACUCCGUG